GUGUCCUUUCCUUCGGGACAGUGGUGACAGGUGGUGCAUGGUUGUCGUCAGCUCGUGUCGUGAGAUGUUGGGUUAAGUCCCGCAACGAGCGCAACCCUUGUCUUUAGUAGCCAGCAGUUCGGCUGGGCACUCUAGAGAGACUGCCAGGGAUAACCUGGAGGAAGGCGGGGAUGACGUCAAAUCAUCAUGCCCCUUACGAGCAGGGCUACACACGUGCUACAAUGGCGUAAACAAAGGGAAGCGACCCCGCGAGGGUAAGCAAAUCUCAAAAAUAACGUCUCAGUUCGGAUUGUAGUCUGCAACUCGACUACAUGAAGCUGGAAUCGCUAGUAAUCGCGAAUCAGAAUGUCGCGGUGAAUACGUUCCCGGGUCUUGUACACACCGAAAA
rnacentral:rRNA from 1 species